rnacentral:misc_RNA from 1 species
UCUCCGUAGGUGAACCUGCGGAGGGAUCAUUAAUGAGUCAUCCGGGCCCCCCGUCCGCGGGGCGCCCGUCUCUCACAACCCUUUGUCUAACGUACUCGUUGCCUCGGGGGCUUCACCGCCCCCGACGGACACAAUCUAAACACUGCAUCCUUGCGUCGGAGUAUUGAAACAAAUCAAUCAAAACUUUCAACAACGGAUCUCUUGGUUCUGGCAUCGAUGAAGAACGCAGC